CUAUACCUUGAUUGUAAUUGUAAGUAGGUCCACCAUUCUAUCUCAAAUCCCAAAUCUUUCAGCUCCUGUCUUGUUUUUAAGUUUCCCUUCUCAUCUAAUAUGUCCUAUUAUUUUUAACCCUCAUGU